rnacentral:rRNA from 1 species
AACUUGCGACGCGAAACUACGUAGAGCGGGCGCCUUUGACGUUGGCGGCGGACGGGUGAUUAACACGUGGGCGCCUACCCUAUAGUUUGGGAUAACUCCGGGAAACCGGGGCUAAUACCCAAUAAUCUCUUUUACUUCAUGGUGAGAGACUGAAAGACGGCAUCUCGCUGUCGCUAUAGGAUGGGCCCGCGGCGCAUUAACUAGUUGGUGAGGUAACGGCUCACCAAGGCGACGAUGCGUAGCCCACCUGAGAGGGUGAUCGGCCACACUGGGACUGAAACACGGCCCAGACUCCUACGGGAGGCAGCAGUAGGGAAUCUUCCACAAUGGGCGAAAGCCUGAUGGAACAACGCCGCGUGAGUGAAGAAGGUUUUCGGAUCGUAAAACUCUGUUGUAAGGGAAGAACAAUUACAGUAGUAACUGGCUGUACCUUGACGGUACCUUAUUAAAAAGCCACGGCUAACUACGUGCCAGCAGCCGCGGUAAUACGUAGGUGGCAAGCGUUGUCCGGAAUUAUUGGGCGUAAGGCGCGCGCAGGCCGUCCUUUAUU